ACGGGAGGCAGCAGUGGGGAAUAUUGGGCAAUGGGCGAAAGCCUGACCCAGCAACGCCGCGUGAAGGAAGGAGGUUUUCGGAUUGUAAACUUCUUUUAUCAGGGACGAAGAAUGUGACGGUACCUGAUGAAUAAGCCACGGCUAACUACGUGCCAGCAGCCGCGGUAAUACGUAGGUGGCAAGCGUUAUCCGGAUUUACUGGGUGUAAAGGGCGCGUAGGCGGGGAUGCAAGUCAGAUGUGAAAUCCAUGGGCUUAACCCAUGAACUGCAUUUGAAACUGUAUUUCUUGAGUGUCGGAGAGGUAGACGGAAUUCCUAGUGUAGCGGUGAAACGCGUAGAUAUUAGGAGGAACACCAGUGGCGAGGCGGUCUACUGGACGAUAACUGACGCUGAGGCGCGAAAGCGUGGGGAGCAAACAGGAUUAGAUACCCUGGUA
rnacentral:rRNA from 1 species